rnacentral:rRNA from 1 species
CCUUAGAGUUUGAUGCCUGGCUCAGAACGUACGCUGGCGGCACGCCUAACACAUGCAAGUCGAACGAAGUAGCAAUACUUAGUGGCAGACGGGUGAGUAACAUGUAGGUAUCUGCCCUUUGGCCUGGAAUAACACGAGGAAACUUGUGCUAAUACCGGAUAAGUCUUUACGGAGAAAGCUUUAUGCACCAUUGGAUGAGCCUGCACUUGAUUAGUUUGUUGGUGGGGUAAUGGCCUACCAAGACUGUGAUCAAUAGCUGAUUUGAGAGGAUGAUCAGCCACAUUGGGACUGAGACACGGCCCAAACUCCUACGGGAGGCAGCAGUGAGGAAUCUUGCACAAUGGAGGAAACUCUGAUGCAGCGAUGCCGCGUGAGUGAAGAAGGCCUUUGGGUUGUAAAGCUCUUUCGUCGGGGAAGAAAAUGACUGUACCCGAAUAAGAAGGUCCGGCUAACUUCGUGCCAGCAGCCGCGGUAAUACGAAGGGACCUAGCGUAGUUCGGAAUUACUGGGCUUAAAGAGUUCGUAGGUGGUUGAAAUAGUUGGUGGUGAAAUCCCAGAGCUUAACUCUGGAACUGCCAUCAAAACUUUUCAGCUAGAGUAUGAUAGAGGAAAGCAGAAUUUCUAGUGUAGAGGUGAAAUUCGUAGAUAUUAGAAAGAAUACCAAUUGCGAAGGCAGCUUUCUGGAUCAUUACUGACACUGAGGAACGAAAGCAUGGGUAGCGAAGAGGAUUAGAUACCCUCGUAGUCCAUGCCGUAAACGAUGUGUGUUAGACGUUGGAAAUUUAUUUUCAGUGUCGCAGGGAAACCGAUAAACACACCGCCUGGGGAGUACGACCGCAAGGUUAAAACUCAAAUGAAUUGACGGGGACCCGCACAAGUAGUGGAGCAUGUGGUUUAAUUCGAAGAUACGCGCAGAACCUUACCAACACUUGACAUGUUCGUCGCGACUCUAAGAGAUUAGAGUUUUCGGUUCGGCCGGACGAAACACAGGUGCUGCAUGGCUGUCGUCAGCUCGUGUCGUGAGAUGUUGGGUUAAGUCCCGCAACGAGCGCAACCCUCACUUUUAGUUGCCAUCAUUAAGUUGGGCACUCUGAAAGAACUGCCAGUGAUAAGCUGGAGGAAGGUGGGGAUGACGUCAAGUCCUCAUGGCCCUUACGUGUUGGGCUACACACGUGCUACAAUGGUAUCUACAACAGGAAGCAAGACUGCGAAGUUAAGCAAAUCCCUAAAAGAUACCUCAGUUCGGAUUGCACUCUGCAACUCGAGUGCAUGAAGCUGGAAUUACUAGUAAUCGUGGAUCAGCGUGCCACGGUGAAUGCGUUCCCGGGUCUUGCACACACCGCCCGUCAAGG